rnacentral:rRNA from 1 species
GUAAAGGGCGCGUAGGCGGGAUCGUGGGUCGGCCGUGAAACCCACCGGACAACCGGUGAACUGCGGUCGAAACUACGAUUCUUGAGCUCGGUAGAGGAAGGCGGAAUUCCUGGUGUAGCGGCGGAAUGCGUAGAUAUCAGGAAGAACACCGGUAGCGAAGGCGGCCUUCUGGGCCGUAGCUGACGCUGAGGCGCGAAAGCCGGGGGAGCGAACAGGAUUAGAUACCCUGGUAGUCCCGGCCGUAAACGAUGGGUACUAGGUGUAGGGGGUACUGACCCCCUCUGUGCCGCCGUUAACGCAUUAAGUACCCCGCCUGGGGAGUACGCACGCAAGUGUGAAACUCAAAGGAAUUGACGGGGCCCCGCACAAGCGGUGGAGCAUGUGGAUCAAUUCGACGCAACGCGAAGAACCUUACCGGGGUUUGACAUGUACCGGACUGUCAUGGAAACAUGGCUUCCCUUCGGGGUCGGUACACAGGUGCUGCAUGGCUGUCGUCAGCUCGUGUCAUGGGAUGUUGGGUUAAGUCCCGCAACGAGCGCAACCCUCGUCGCCUGUUGCCAUCAGGUUAAGCUGGGCACUCUGGCGAGACUGCCCGCGAUAUGCGGGAGGAAGGCGGGGAUGACGUCAAGUCCUCAUGGUCCUUACAUCCCGGGCUUCACAAUAAGGCCUUUGG